GAACGCUGGCGGCGUGCCUAAUACAUGCAAGUGGGACGCAAGGGAACACACUGUGCUUGCACACCGUGUUUUCUUGAGUCGCGAACGGGUGAGUAACGCGUAGGUAACCUGCCUAUUAGCGGGGGAUAACUAUUGGAAACGAUAGCUAAUACCGCAUAAUAUUAAUUAUUGCAUGAUAAUUGAUUGAAAGAUGCAAGCGCAUCACUAGUAGAUGGACCUGCGUUGUAUUAGCUAGUUGGUAAGGUAAGAGCUUACCAAGGCGACGAUACAUAGCCGACCUGAGAGGGUGAUCGGCCACACUGGGACUGAGACACGGCCCAGACUCCUACGGGAGGCAGCAGUAGGGAAUCUUCGGCAAUGGACGAAAGUCUGACCGAGCAACGCCGCGUGAGUGAAGAAGGUUUUCGGAUCGUAAAGCUCUGUUGUAAGUCAAGAACGUGUGUGAGAGUGGAAAGUUCACACAGUGACGGUAGCUUACCAGAAA
rnacentral:rRNA from 1 species